rnacentral:misc_RNA from 1 species
GCGGCCGCCGAGUCCGUCCACAUCGCCAGGCCAGGUGAACCCUGCCUUUGCGAGCGUGCACAGUGGGAUCCGCGCACUGUUCUCAGGCACGGCGCUGUCGCGUCUCUGUGCCAGGCGUGCGCAGGGGGAAGGGCAACUAAAGUGACAGCGCGUGGACCCCUCCCCAUCUCCUCGAUUUCUCCCAGCCCCCAAAUGUCCCCUACGGGUUUCUGAAGGAGGAAAAGGGGAGGGGGCCGGCCCCCGCCUAAAAUCAGGGGCAGUGAAGGCCCUGUCGGAAUCACUGCUCGGGAGGUGCAGGGAGGGGCGUGCAGGGAGUCAUCUUUUCUAGAACCCGAUCCACGUCUUUCUUAGAGCUGAUGGCGAACAGCGGCAGGGACAGCGGAUUUCAGAUUCGGUUUCGGGGGUCGUUAUCGGACCCCUCCACACACACACACACACACACACACACACACACACACACACGCCCAUUGCGGCAAAAGGCUGCAGUCGAGAGUGAAGGGCAGCCCCCUCCCCCAAGUCACCGCCGCCGCGCCCCACCCUGCCGGCACAGCCUCCACCUGGGGUCUGCGCGAAUCUGGUGGUGAAGACCCUCCAGCACACACACACGCGCGCACUCACGCGUGCGUGCAUCCCUUGCUCAGGUCCCUUUCCAGGCCGCCCUGGCCCCAGCCCCCGAGCAGGGGAGGCAGGGAGGGGCCCUGCGGUGGCCCCGACCGAUGCCCGGCGCACGAAGCCCCAGUCUGCGGAGAGGGAGGGCGAGGGGCGGCGGCGCAGGGGUGCACAGAGGCGGACGGCGAGGCAGAUUUCGGAGCCGCGGCGCUUACCUGAUAGUCGACAGAGGCGAGGACGGGAGAGGACAGCGGAGGAGGAGAAGGUGGCUGUGGUGGCGGCGGCAGAAGGAGUCAGAACAAGGACGGGCCUGUGAUGUGUCUGUCUAUGACGAGGAGGACAAUGUCCUAAGGAAUGGAGAGGAAGAAAGUGAAGGGAACCAGGUCCCUGGAUUCCAUGUGGAACAGUAGCCCAGGAUGUGCACUAUGGACUGUUACAAGAGAGAGACAUGAUCUUCCUUAAGGCAUUGAUUUGUCAUGAGUCUCUUUGUUAUAGCCACUUAACGUUACCUUAAUACACCCACUUCAUGGAUAAGUAAAACUGAGGCUUGGAGAAGCCCACAUUGACACAGCAAAGAAGGCUGGGGCUCUUGUGCUGGUUAAAUGGACCUUGAUGUCUUCCAAAUGUUUUCAUGCUGGAUUCUGAGCCACUCUCCUGGCUGCAACUCUGAGGCCGGGCAGACUUUCCGCUGGAAAGAGAACUCAAAUACUGGUGAGAGGUGGAUUUGAAGCCAGGAGCCCCAGGUUUUGGCUCUGCAGGUUUGCACCCAGCUCUGUGGUGUAUGCCCUCACAGGUCACCCAGGACCUCCUGUCCAGGCUUCUUCAGGCCACCCAUGAUGGAGUAGAUUUGAGGAAUGAGGUUUUCAAAGCAGUUAGUGUGCGGGAGAGUAACCCUGGGGCCUCCGGAACCAGAAGGGAGGGAUUUGGGGGCUGGAGCUUGGCAGUCCAGGUUCCAUUGUCCUCAUGUUCUCCCCACUGGCCUGGCCUGUCACUCCAGUCUCUGCAUAGGUUGUCACAUGGCAUUCUCCCUGUGUGUCUCUGUGUCUCUUCUCUUCUUUAUAAAGACAUAGUUAUAAUGGAUUAGGGCCCACCCUAA